rnacentral:lncRNA from 1 species
UUUUUUUUUCUGUUAAAAAUAGGUGGAUUAAAUAUGUUCUGAAUUUGAUUUUUUAAAAAUUCUAGUUACAUAGUUGAAGCAUGUGUUUUUUUCUAAAUGACUAGAUCUUACAGAGAUUCACAGAGUUAACAAAAAUUUUCAUUUUUAUGCUACCCAAAAAGAAAGGGAUGAUCUAAAAAAAAGAAAAGAAAGGGAUGAUCUGUCACUAUUCUGAGCAAGUCUGGCAUAAUAUGAUGAACAAAAGAGCACAUGCAUAUCUUAAGUGACUUCUUCCAAAGGUCCAGAAAAGAAGAACAUUUCCAUCAUCAAUCACCACAGUACUGGGAAUUUAGGACCCUUCCUCUUAUGGCACUAACUGGAGGGAGUUCUGAUAGUUAAUAAAGAAGACAAGGCAUGCAGUAAGCAAAGUGCUAAGACACAUUGAGGAUAACCAUUCACUCAGAGUGUCAACAACUCAGGAAAAUGUAAUCAACCAACUUUUUUUAACACAGAAGUAAAAACCGAUCCUUCUCUUCGGAUUUACACAUAGUACAGGUGUCUGAAUUCAAACUGCCAACUAAUAAUUCAGUUGCAUUACCCAGCUUUAUGUAUAAAGGCUAGAGGCUUUAACUCUUUCCAGAACAAUCUGUCAGACAAAAAUCUCUCAAAGAGUGGCAUUUGUUUGGGUAGUAUCAGGCCCCAUAAGAGCACUUCUAUAAAGAGAGAUGCUUAUUGCAUUAAGUACAUUAAGGAGAGGGGGGUAUUCCUUGAGUAUAGAGCUAUUCUUAUAUUUUAAAAGACAAACUGUAAUUUUCACAGGAAAUUAAAUGGCCUGGUCUUUCUCUCACUUUGAGAAACCGUUCUUCCAGAAAAGAAAUCUGCGAUAAAAUUUUAUAAAGCAGAAUAUCACCAACUUGGCGUUUUAAAAAGAGAAAUGGCAAAGGAAAGAAAAUAAAACUUUAAAUAAGAUAAAUUAACUCUAAUUAUAUAGCUAUAGAAAUGUAAUUAUGUUCGUUGAAGAUAAUAAAAUGUUUCCAUCAGAGCUUAAAGUUAAAGAAAGCAUCUUGUCUCAGCAAAUUAAAAAAAAAAGGCUCUAACUAAUCAUUAUACUGUCCAGUGACAAGACCAGCACAGUCAUAUAUUCCCUACCCCAUUCUAAACUGCUAUUUAUAUUACAUCAUUUAUAAAUGCAUAUUUUUUGUAAACUGGUUAAGUAUUUGUGAGUUCAUAUAAUAGUAAAAAUAAGUAACAACAUAAAAUCAGUUAUUUAAAAUUCAAAAGUAAUAACUGUAAGGCUUUGAUUUACCAAAAUGUGCUUAAUAGUGUUCUGAAUCUUUCCCUUGGUGAUAAACAAUAUGAAUUACAUAAUGGCAUAUAUUUGUUUAAUAUUUGGGCCAACUUUUUAUUCAGGGACAAAUGUUCCAGUUUGUCAAAUAGCCAACGCUUUAUCUAUUUUUUACUGUUACCAGGCUGAUGGCCAUCUCUGUGUGUGUAUGUGUGUUUUAACAUCUUCACUAGAUGGCAAAUGAAUAAAGUAUAAAAACAAUUUAGCCCCAAAAGCAUUCUGUUUCAAGAAAGUUUGUACUCACUAACAAUUAGGACAACUUAGGACUUUCAGUUAUCUUUUUGGUCCUCAUUCUGCAAAUAGACCAAAAGGUUCCCAGAAAAAUGGGGACUCUUGACUGCCAGAUAUAGAAAGAAUGAGAUUAGAUUACUUUGAACAUAUACUUUGACACUAUUUUCUCUCCUGCCCUGUGGUCAUAAGGAAUCAUAUAUAGACAGAAUUUCUGUAAACUAUGGUCCACAUGUGUUUACUAUGCUAUGGAAAUACGUUUCCUCCUCAUGCACCUCUCUGCUAGAAUUUCUGAAAAACCCAAGAGGAGAUCUCACCUGGACCAGUCAUUGGUACUCAAGCUCCUAAUCACCUUGAGCGGUCAAUGGAUGAACAUGUGACUCAACCCAGGAAAACUUGAAUUCUCCCCUGGGAAUUUGAAAACUUAGGAUAAAAGUAACUGGCUAACUGAUUAAAGUCAAAUUAAAAGGACGCCUGGGUGUCUUGGUGUUUGUCUGCCUCGGCUCAGAGCAGACACCGGGUCUGGGAUCAAGUCCCACAUCAGGCUCCUUGGAGGGAGCCUCUGCCUAUGUCUCUGCCUCUCUCUCUGUGUCUCUCAUGAAUACAUUAAUAAAACCUUUAAAAAUAAAGUUAAAUUAAAAUGUUAAGAUGCUAACAGUCACACACACCAUGGUAUUAAAAAAAGAACAUUUUCGGGAUCCCUGGGUGGCGCAGCGGUUUAGCGCCUGCCUUUGGCCCGGGGCGUGAUCCUGGAGACCCGGGAUCGAAUCCCGCGUCGGGCUCCUGGUGCAUGGAGCCUGCUUCUCCCUCUGCCUGUGUCUCUGCUUCUCUCUCUCUCUGUGACUAUCAUAAAUAAAUAAAAAUUUAAAAAGAGAACAUUUUCUGUAGUAGAAAAUAAUAAAAGAGACGUGUAGAAAGGGAAAGAUAUGUGUUGUGUAUGUGUGUGUGUGUGUAGGUGUGUGUGUUGGGGUGUGGGUUUGUGUGUAAGAAAGCAAAGGAAUAGAGGUAAGGAAAGAAGAAGAGAGGGAGGAGCAAAGGGAGAAGAAGAAGUAAAGGAAGAGAAUGAAAGAGAGGGAGAGAGAGAGAGAAGCGAGGCCAGAAGGAAGAACACAGAUUUCAAUUUCCCUUAAUACCAGCCAUGCUUCAACCAAUUCUAUUCUUGUCCUUUACAGAGUUUGAAUAGGGGAACCUAUCUUUUUUUCUCUUUUUAAAAAAUUUAUUCAUGAGAGACACACAGAGAGAGGCAGAGACACAGGCAGAAGGAAAAGCAGGCUCCCUAUGGGGAGCCCCAUGUGGGACUUGAUCCCAGGACCUCAGAUCAUGAUCUGAGCCAAACCAGACACUCAACUACUGAGCCACCCAGGUGCCCCACUCUCUUGUUGCUGAAACUAGUUGUAGUUGGAUGGGGGCAUAACAGAAGGACUAAGUGGAAUACACAUAUUAAUUGAGGGGUCUGAUCCAAAACUCAGGUUCCGAUGAGUUUCUGCUUUGGUCAUGGUGGCUGAGGGGUCCUGAUGGCAAGAAAUGCAGCAUUAGUGUGGUUUCUCCAGGCUGAACCAUUGGAAAGUACGAAGGUAGGAUAUCAACAUGUGGAAGAGCUUACAAACAUAAGGUAACUCACUAUACAGACCUCAAACAGCACUGACCACUGUUAAUGUAUUUAGAUCAUCGUGAAAUGAUGUAAUUUAUGUAAGCAACCUAGGUAUUUUUAUGCACACAUUUUCACUUAGCAAUGCCUAUAAAAUCAGCAAUAAAGUAAGCAAUAAUUUUAUGCAUGAUAUUGGCAAGCCAACAAACAAUCAUCUGGAUACUUACUUCAUAAUAUUUACCUGCGCCUAAAUCAUUUUUUAUACUAAAUUUGUAUAAAGUAUACAAAUAGGCAAUUGAGUGUGAUUUCAGUUUUGUAAGAUGUUGACUUUCUUCUCUCUCUCUUGUGGCCCCUCUUUCUCUC